rnacentral:lncRNA from 1 species
AGAGCAACUGGGUCUGAAGCAGUCGGUGACAGCAGUGUGUAUGUGGGAGAUGCUAAAGGGGUUUUCAGAUGGAGUUUGACUAGCUUAGAAAGGAGAUUUUGUGUGUAGCAGUAGUAUGGGCCCAAGGUAGUGCUCACAUUUAGCUUCUGUCAGGGUUUUACGUUUCAUGCCCUCGAAUGUGCCAGCCCAGUUCCCCUUCAAUCUGCUUGAAACGCACCUGCAGAAAUCCUGCACUCUUUCUAGGUUCCUGCCAACGUUUGACCCUUGCGGGUGACUUCUCCUCUUCUGCGUCAGAUGUAAGCUGCUUUCCCACACCUUGGCCGGCUGCGGCCACGUGCCGAGCUGUCCCCUCCCUCCUUGCUUCCUUGGCCGCUCCUUCGGCAGCCCUCUGCUCUGGCCCAGAUGUUCUGAUUAAAUUUAACCUAUGGAGUUGGAGAAAUCCAGCUGUAGAAAAGCGGAAGAGGUAAAUUACAACAGAAUGUAUCCUUCAAAUGCUGAAUC